CUGGCACACAAGGAAUUUGGUUCCAGCAGUUUGUGACUCUCAAAGAUCCCAUGGAAAGUUUCUGGAAAUUUACCAGAAAUCUUCCACCCCUUUUGCAACCCUAAAGAGGAGCCAUGUAAACAUACUGAUUGGGAUCAGCUCCAUGCUGAAGAAGCAGCUCGACCACAUCGGUGAAGCCUAGCAGGGACGAGCAGAAAAGACAUGUCUGGCCCAGAUGAUUCACGCAGUCCACAUUCACACCUGAACAGAGAACAGGUUUUGCUCCCGGGUGAACCGGUGCAGUUGAGCCGCCACACGUCCUUUUUUGACAGCCCAAAGGUACCGGACAGGGCACAAAGAUCACAGCUGACAUCUUCACACGGCUCUGAGAGGAAGAUAUUAACAGUCUACUUCAC